GAUGAACGCUAGCGGCAGGCCUAACACAUGCAAGUCGAGGGGUAGAGGAAGCUUGCUUCCUUGAGACCGGCGCACGGGUGCGUAACGCGUAUGCAAUCUACCUUAUACAAAGGGAUAGCCCAGAGAAAUUUGGAUUAAUACCUUAUAGUAUUAUGAGAUCGCAUGGUUUUAUAAUUAAAGUUCCAACGGUAUAAGAUGAGCAUGCGUCCCAUUAGUUAGUUGGUAAGGUAACGGCUUACCAAGACAAUGAUGGGUAGGGGUCCUGAGAGGGAGAUCCCCCACACUGGUACUGAGACACGGACCAGACUCCUACGGGAGGCAGCAGUGAGGAAUAUUGGUCAAUGGACGCAAGUCUGAACCAGCCAUGCCGCGUGCAGGAUGACGGUCCUAUGGAUUGUAAACUGCUUUUAUACAGGAAGAAACACUCCCUCGUGAGGGAGCUUGACGGUACUGUAGGAAUAAGGAUCGGCUAACUCCGUGCCAGCCGCCGCAGUAAGAC
rnacentral:rRNA from 1 species